UGUUUAUAGGUAUGUAUCAUCUGCUAAGUUUCGCAAAAAAAAUUACCCCUUAAAAGAGUCAUUUAUUGUCUGAUUUCUUCUUUGUUAAUACCAAUAAUAUCUUACCAAGCGGAGGACGAGGUUUGUGUCGUCACUGCUUACUGGAAACGCGAUGUGCUACGUCACAGAUUUAACAGCCAACGGUGGUACAUGAUUGUCAACGCUGAAUUCAUACAAGCGUGAGUUGUCGUGAAGAGUAGUACAGCACUCGUCUUCAGUUCGAUGUUCGGUAGCCAAUAAGUGGAAACGUCUAACAACUAUCGCGAUUCAUUUAACUUGUAGGCCUAUAAUAUAUCGGCAUAGUCUACAACUACAUUUACAUUCAUUUAGAUUCCAUUCGACAACUCGUUUAAUGCGAUACCAAUAAAUUCGAAGAAGCAACAAAUUCAAUAGACUUACCAGAGACUGAAAAUAAAUUCAAAGUUAAUAAUAUGGCCAACGGAGAUGAUCUACACACCCCAGAUGUUGCUGAGAAAUCUGACGGCCUAGAUGAAAUUCAGAGCGGUGAAUCAAUCAACUCGGAAACAGCAUCAGAUAAUGGUAAAUCCCCUGGUAGUGAAGAUGGCACGAAAAGGAAGAAAAGACGAAACAGAACAACAUUUACGAGUUUUCAACUAGAAGAAAUGGAAAGGGUCUUCCAAAAGACCCAUUAUCCAGACGUUUAUGCCAGGGAACAAUUGGCACUUCGAUGCGACUUGACGGAGGCUAGAGUACAGGUGAGACAUUACCACAUUUCCACUGUUUUUUCUGUAAAUACUGUUCAUUAACCACUAUGAUAUCAAUCAUCAUAAAGUAAAUGGUCUACAAGUCAAGAUUACAAUGGGAAACAAUGUUUUCGCUAAGUAUUAUAUUCCUUUAAUUAGCAUUUUAUCGGGGCCCUAUGAUGCAAAACACCUAGUUAAGUAAUACAUCACAUUCAUUACUGGAAGCUGGAAGUAAGGAAUUCAAUCUGCAUUCAUACGGCAGACCAAGGUUGGGACUGCAAACACAGUAGGAGGGAGAAAUCAUAAGUGAAAAGCCUCAACCCUCAACAUAACUAAUUCCCUCACCUAUUGUCUAAACUUUAUAGAAAGCUAAAUUUUCUUUACAUUUCAUAAAUCAUUAUCCAUGUUUGUAAAUGUAAUAAACCCUUAUGCGCUUCACAUUAUCAUUGUAGAAAUAUUUGGUAAUUUUCCAAAAGCACUUAAAAUUAACGAAUUAAAUCAAAUGG